CGGGGCGUGGCGCAGUCUGGUAGCGUACUUGCAUGGGGCGCAAGAGGUCGCUGGUUCAAAUCCAGUCGUCCCGACCA
rnacentral:tRNA from 1 species